UACGUAGGGGGCUAGCGUUGUCCGGAAUCAUUGGGCGUAAAGCGCGUGUAGGCGGUUCGGUAAGUCCGCUGUGAAAGUCGGGGGCUCAACCCUCGGAUGCCGGUGGAUACUGUCGGACUAGAGUACGGAAGAGGCGAGUGGAAUUCCUGGUGUAGCGGUGAAAUGCGCAGAUAUCAGGAGGAACACCGAUUGCGAAGGCAGCUCGCUGGGACGUUACUGACGCUGAGAAGCGAAAGCAUGGGGAGCGAACAGG
rnacentral:rRNA from 1 species